UUGACUUUAGUGGCUUAAUGGGCAAUCAUGACUUUUAGAAAAAAUACAUACGACCAUGACUACAUGAGAAAUAUUUUUCUUUGUGUGGGCUAGUUCUGAAACAAGUCAAACAACCCAAUCCUAAGUUAUAAAAAAAAUUACUUUUUUUUUCUUCCCCUUCCUUCUUCUUCUCAGUGCACCUCGGACCCCCCGGACUUCCCGAAUUUCAAGCUGGACCCUCCCUAGUACAUAAAAAAAUUUCUCGCAACAGGGGGG
rnacentral:lncRNA from 1 species